rnacentral:rRNA from 1 species
AUUGAACGCUGGCGGCAGGCCUAACACAUGCAAGUCGAGCGGUAACACAGGGAGCUUGCUCCCGGGUGACGAGCGGCGGACGGGUGAGUAAUGUCUGGGAAACUGCCUGAUGGAGGGGGAUAACUACUGGAAACGGUAGCUAAUACCGCAUAACGUCGCAAGACCAAAGAGGGGGACCUUCGGGCCUCUUGCCAUCAGAUGUGCCCAGAUGGGAUUAGCCGGUAGGUGGGGUAACGGCUCACCUAGGCGACGAUCCCUAGCUGGUCUGAGAGGAUGACCAGCCACACUGGAACUGAGACACGGUCCAGACUCCUACGGGAGGCAGCAGUGGGGAAUAUUGCACAAUGGGCGCAAGCCUGAUGCAGCCAUGCCGCGUGUAUGAAGAAGGCCUUCGGGUUGUAAAGUACUUUCAGCGGGGAGGAAGGUGCUGAGGUUAAUAACCUCAUCAAUUGACGUUACCCGCAGAAGAAGCACCGGCUAACUCCGUGCCAGCAGCCGCAGUAAGAC